rnacentral:rRNA from 1 species
UACGUAGGAGGCGAGCGUUGUCCGGAGUUACUGGGCGUAAAGGGUGCGCAGGCGGCGGUGCGCGUGGCGAGAUGAAAUCUCCUGGCUUACCUGGGAGGAUGGUCGCCAGACGGCAUCGCUUGAGGGUCGGAGAGGGGCGUGGAAUUCCGGGUGGAGCGGUGAAAUGCGUAGAGAUCCGGAGGAACACCGACGGCGUAGGCAGCGCCCUGGACGACACCUGACGCUGAGGCACGAAAGCGUGGGGAGCGAACGGG